rnacentral:rRNA from 1 species
GACGAACGCUGGCGGCGUGCUUAACACAUGCAAGUCGAACGAAGUGGCGAACGGGUGAGUAACGCGUAAUCAACCUGCCCUUCAGAGGGGGACAACAGUUGAAAACGACUGCUAAUACCGCAUACGGAUGGGAGGGAUUGCGUAUGAUUAGCUAGGUGGAGGGGUAACGGCCCACCAAGGCGAUGAUCAGUAGCCGGUUUGGGAGGAUGAACGGCCAAAUCGGGACUGAGACAAGGCCCAGACUCCUAAGGGAGGCAGCAGUGGGGAAUCUUCCGCAAUGGACGAAAGUCUGACGGAGCAAAGCCGCGUGAGUGAUGACGGCCUUCGGGUUGUAAAGCUCUGUUAAGCGGGACGCGGUACCGGAAUAGAAAGCCACGGCUAACUACGUGCCAGCAGCCGCGGUAAUUC